rnacentral:tRNA from 1 species
GCCUCCGUAACUCAACUGACAGAGAGCGGGACUUACAAUCCCGUUGAUGCGAGUUCAAAUCUCGCCGGGGGCU